rnacentral:rRNA from 1 species
AGGACGAACGCUGGCGGCGUGCCUAACACAUGCAAGUCGAACGAGGUUCAACUGGUAGCAAUACCAGGGAAAAUCAAGUGGCGAACGGGUGAGUAGCACGUGAGCAACCUGCCCCGAAGACCGGGACAACACCGGGAAACCGGUGCUAAUACCGGAUACCCCCACCGAAUCGCAUGGUUUGGUGAGGAAAUGGAUUCCGCUUCGGGAGGGGCUCGCGGCCUAUCAGCUUGUUGGUGAGGUAACGGCUCACCAAGGCUUCGACGGGUAGCUGGUCUGAGAGGACGAUCAGCCACACUGGGACUGAGACACGGCCCAGACUCCUACGGGAGGCAGCAGUGGGGAAUCUUGCACAAUGGGCGAAAGCCUGAUGCAGCAACGCCGCGUGAGGGACGAAGGCUUUCUGAGUUGUAAACCUCUUUCAGCAGGGACGAUUGUGACGGUACCUGCAGAGAGCCCGGCAACUACGCGCCAGCAGCCGCGGU